AUGGCCUGGACCCCUCUCCUGCUUGUUCUCCUCUCUCACUGCACAGGAUCCUGGGCCCAGUCUGUGCUGACUCAGCCACAGUCAGUCUCUGGGAAUCUGGGCCAGAGGGUCACCAUCUCCUGCACUGGAAGCAGCUCCAACAUCGGGAAGCAUGGUUAUGUGGACUGGUAUCAACAGCUCCCAGGAACAGGCCCCAAACUCCUGAUAUAUAGUGACUUACUUAGUAGCAACAAUCGACCCUCAGGGGUCCCUGAUCGAUUUUCGGGCUCCAGGUCUGGCAGCUCAGCCACCCUGACCAUCGCUGGGCUCCAGAAUGAGGACGAGGCUGAUUAUUACUGUGCAAGUUGGGACAGCAGUCUGAGUGGUCCCACAGUGCUCCAGGCCUGUGGGGAAAGUCUGGGUAGAGGUGACCAUGUCCUGAACCUGCAGCAGAGGCAACAUUGGAAGAGCGUAUGUGUGCUGGUACCAGCAGCGCCACAGCCCCCCAGCACCAUGAUCUAUGAUGACGACGAUCAUAGACCUUAA